rnacentral:misc_RNA from 1 species
GCAUGAUCCACGCCAAGAAAAUGUGCUAUAAGUACAUCCCAAUCUUCUUGAUACAGGUAUGGAAACAAGUGUUCAACGCAGCCAUCAUCUACCGUGUCAAGGUCUUUAACAUUAAAUGAAGGGAACGGAUGAGAUAUAUUAAAAUGUUGAGGAAACAGUUGAACCCACGUGUCAUCCCCCAUCAUCACAACUCGCUUGCCAUUCUUAGCCAUCUG